rnacentral:lncRNA from 1 species
AAUCAAAUAUUGAUAAAAUUCAUCAAAAUAUUAAAUAAAUUAUAAAAGAAAUAAAAAGAAAUCCUAAAGAAAUUCUAAAAAAAUCAUAAAGAAAUAAUAAAGAAAACCUAUAAAAAUAUAAAGAAAUUUAUAAGAAAUAAAAAUGACAGCCUUAAAGAAAUCCAAAAUAAAUUCAAAAGAAAUCCUGAAGAAAUCCAUUAGAAAUCCUAAAGAAAAAUAAAAAAUAAAUAAAAAUAAAUCCUUAAAGAAAUUUAAAAGAAAUAAUAAAAAAAAAUAUAAUUUUUUUUUAUAAGAAUCUUAAAGAAAUCCUUAAGAAAUCUUAAAGAAAUUCUAAAACCUUAACUAAUUCUAAUUAGAUCCUAAAUCCUAAAUCAAUCUUAAUCAAAUUUUAAAUCUUAAAUCAAAUCUUAAUAAAAUUUUAAAUCCUAAAUAAAAUAUUAAUUAAAUCCUAAAUCCUAAACCAAAUCCUAAUCAAUUCCUAAAUCCUAA